rnacentral:rRNA from 1 species
GACGAACGCUGGCGGCGUGCCUAAUACAUGCAAGUCGAACGCAGUGGGGACGGGUGAGUAACACGUGGGUAACCUCCCAUCAGAGGGGAUAACACUUGGAAACAGGUGCUAAACCGAUACUGAUGGAUGGACCCGCGGGGCAUUAGCUAGUUGGUGAGGUAACGGCUCACCAAGGCCACGAUGCAUAGCCUAGUUGAGCGGGUGGUGAGGCACACGGGUACUGAGCCACGGCCCAGCCGCCUCCGGGAGGCAGAAGUAGGGAAUCUUCGGCUAUGGACGAGAGUCUGACCGAGAAACGCCGCGUGAGUGAAGAAGGUUUUCGGAUCGGAAAACUCUGUUGUUAGAGAAGCGGUAUCUAACCAGAAAGCCCCGGCUAACUACGUGCCCGCAGCCGCGGUAAUUC